GAUGAACGCUGGCGGCGUGCCUAAUACAUGCAAGUCGAGCGAACAGACGAGGAGCUUGCUCCUCUGACGUUAGCGGCGGACGGGUGAGUAACACGUGGAUAACCUACCUAUAAGACUGGGAUAACUUCGGGAAACCGGAGCAAAUACCGGAUAAUAUAUUGAACCGCAGGGUUCAAUAGUGAAAGACGGUUUUGCUGUCACUUAUAGAGGGAUCCGCGCCGCAUUAGCUAGUUGGUAAGGUAACGGCUUACCAAGGCAACGAUGCGUAGCCGACCUGAGAGGGUGAUCGGCCACCCUGGAGCUGGGCCACGGUCCAGGCUCCUACGGGAGGCAGCAGUCGGGAAUCUUCCGCAGUGGGCGAAAGCCUGACGGAGCAACGCCGCGUGAGUGAUGAAGGUCUUCGGAUCGUAAAACUCUGUUAUUAGGGAAGAACAAAUGUGUAAGUAACUAUGCACGUAUUGACGGUACCUAAUCAGAAAGCCCCGGCUAACUACGUG
rnacentral:rRNA from 1 species